UACAGAGGGUGCAAGCGUUGUUCGGAAUUAUUGGGCAUAAAGCGCAUGUAGGUGGUUUAGUUAGUCUGAUGUGAAAGCCCCGGACUCAAUUCGGGAAGUGCAUUGGAUACUGCUAGACUAGAGUAUGGGAGAGGUGAGCGGAAUUCCAGGUGUAGAGGUGAAAUUCGUAGAUAUCUGGAGGAACAACAGAGGCGAAGGCGGCUCACUGGACCAUUACUGACACUGAGAUGCGAAAGCGUGGGGAGCAAACAGG
rnacentral:rRNA from 1 species